AACCUGUCUGCAGUUCUGGGAGAGGAGCUUUUCUUCUGUGUGUCCUUUCUCUCCUAAGGACUGACACUGUAGAGCCUGAACAAUGGGUUUUGGACUGAAUGGAACUUUCAUUCUGAUUAUUUUACAAGGUGUCCAUUGUGAUGUUCAGCUGGUAGAGUGUGGGGGUGAUGUGAGACAGCCUGGAGGAUAUCUUAGCCUUUCCUGCAAAGCUUCUGGAUUCACUUAAGACUCUGUGAAAGGCU